AUAUCUUGUGUAUUUUUUCUCACAUAAAUACAUGUUAUAAAAGUAUCUAAUACACAGAUAUAUAAAAGCAUUCUUAGUGCCUUCUAAGAAAAGAAGUAGGCUGCCCAAGGGUAUCUUUUUGAGAUGAGAGACUUAAUUUCUUGUUGUAAGUAUAAGGAGGUUUUGAUAUGUCUUCAUUUAACUGAUUAUAACACAAAUGUUAGUUUUUUGGAAUCUUUCUCUGUUGGUAAUUAGGAUCUUUUCCAUAUGGACUUCAUCAAAUGCUUUGUGAUCAGUACAAAACAUUAGUCUUUUUCUCCCCAGAUUUGCUCCAAAGAGACUGUUUAUGUCGGUCAAUUAUGACUUUAAAAUACAAAGGUAGCAGAUAUCAAUACAGAAAUAAGGGUAAUAAAUAGGAUAAAUCGAUCCUUCUAACCCUGCUCACUUUGAGGAUUCACCAAGCAAGACUUAUACUGCUUCCAGUUAAUAUGUUUUAGUGACAAGUUUGCCAUCAGGGAAUAAAGAAACCAUUUUACACGCAUGGGGGAGGUGGGGGUAUGUGUUACUAUGUAAAAGUUUGAGUUGUGUCACUGCUUUGUCAUUGGCCGAUUCCGUGAUCUCACCAGGGAAGACAGGAAGCGAAGUUUAUGGAAAGUGGAUUGCUUGACCCAUCGGGAAGAUACCCCUGGGAUCUGAUGAGGACAUAAGGUCCAGAAACUUGAACUAUAAGCGGCGAACUUGGGAGUGAUUUAUCAAGUUUUGUUCUUUUAAUCUUUUACUCUUUCCUCCAUCUUAGUACUUUCCUUUUCUCCCAGUCUCCUCCCACCUUUGUUUGCUGAAUACUCUUUUUCACUGUUGUUUUUUUACAGAUCCUUCCCUAGAAGACAAGGAGGAGGUGCUCACAGCAAAAGAACAGCACAGUUGCCAGAGUCUUCUCUGCACCUGACGUGGGGCUCGAACUCACAACCCAGAGAUCAAGAGUCACUUGCUCUUCCAACUGGGCCACCCGGGUGCUCCAAGUUAGUCACUUUGAUGGCGUUACUCACCCUCUCAGAGUGCCUGAUGGGGCCCUGCUAUUUCUAGUGUGCCGGCUGCUGCCCUCCCGGAGGUCAUUCCCACUGGAGAAUGGCCCUGCCCAUUCCAGGCCUGCCUUGCCCCUUAUGACUCCACCUUUUUGUGGUAAGUGCCCGGAAGUGGAGGCUGUUCCUUAUGGGAGAACCAAGCUUUGUAUGUGAACACAAACAAAUGAAUUGAUUCUUCCUGAUCUCCAUGGAGAGAGGCUAAUUUAGGAGGUUGGAGAUGAAACCCAAGAGGCUGAUGGAUGGAUCCUUGCUUGGCUUUCAGGAUUAGGGUGUUUGCAGUUAGGGCUUCAUCUCCCUUACCUAUUUGCUUAGCUUUUCGCUUCCUAUUGCGUUCCUGUGAACCAGGGCAUCAUUCUCAAUGGUGGGGGGGGGGGGGCACAUUGCUCGAGGCUUGGAGAAUCACUGUGUCUGAUUACAGAGCUGUACAUAUGACCAACUUGGAAGGAGGAAAGGAUCCCCAAGAAUGCUGGACUGAGAGUUCGUGCUGUUGUUGCCUGAGACCCUCGUAAUGCUGGUAGCCGAGGCCAGGUGAACAUCCAGGACUGUUCUUCCGUCAAGUUGGUAUUUUGGCUUCAUGGGGCUGCCCAGUCCACUUCCAGGUGUGGAUGCACUUUUCCUUUGCCUGCAGGGCCACCUUUCAACUGUUUCAUCGUGGGGCUUUUCCUUUCUUUUGUUUCUGCUUGAUUUGACUCGGGAGGGUAGGAGGGAUCUUUUUUUUUUUUUUUUUUUGUACCUUCAGGAAUUUACAGAAGAGUUUUGCCACAGAGGGGCAAUUCUGAUUACCCCAGUUUUUAGACACCCUCCUCUGAACAACUACAACCUUCCCCAAGACAACCUGAUGAGAGUCACAUCUUGACUGGCCUACGGGCUGUACCCCAGGACCGCGUGACAGAUGGCAGGUUUUUAUAGAGAAAUAUUGACUUGCAGAAGAGUCCUGCGGGGAAGUGAAAGGGUUGAAGCAGGUGCAUGUCCUUGCCGUUAAUUUCCCAGGCUGUUUCCAAUGGGAUGACACGUUAUGUUAAGCCAAUGUCCCCUCGUCUGCCUCCCAUCUGGCGCAGACCCCCUCAGGGUCCGUUGGGAAUAUUUACCUUCCUUGAUCAGGUUUCAUCUUCCUCCCAAAGCCUUCCUUGAUGGUGACUCCAUCUCUAUAUCCUCAGAGCUCAUUAGCUUGUUUUCAGUGUUACAGCCUCCCGUAGACCUUUCUUUCAUUGCUUAUGUCACACUGAGCGGUAACCGUUUGUCCUUCCAUUGCUUCCUGUAGACUGUCCCCUCUUUGCUGGAAGCGUCCUCCGCAUAGUAACCAGAAUGCCUUAGGCGCACAAGAUACUUUGUUAACUCAAGUGGUAAUUUCGUAGCCUCCUUCUCCCAGUGGCUAGGCUCCCCUGCCAACAUACACAGUUCAGUAAGUUAUUGAUUCAUGUGUUUCAGAAAAGCAAUGAAAUCUGUGGAAAGGUCUAUCUUCAAUGUAUACAUUGUGCUUAUUUAUAGUCCUUGCGAUGUUCUUGAGAAACUAGUGUUACUAGUGGUGACUUUAAACUUACAGUUUUAAAUCAGUUGAUGUUGCGUCUUCAUUACUAAUCUUUCAAGUGAGCAUGAGGUUCGGUGUUAAUGAAAGGCUCUUCCUCAUUAGGUAGAUAUAGAGCAUUUCUAUUAUCCCAGAAAAGUUCCCCAUGCUCUUUUAUUUUUUAAGUAAUGCCUAUGCAUAACAUGGGGCUUGAACUCAAGACUCUUGAGAUCAAGAGUUGCAUGUUCUACCGAUUGAGCCAGCCAAGUGUCUGUCCUCAUACUCUCUUGUAUUCAACCAACUUCCAGCUUUAGGCAGCCAGUGAUCUGCUUUUUUGUUUGUUUGUUUGUUUGUUUAUUUAUUUAUUUUGAGAGAAAUAGAGCACACAUGGGAAGGGCAGAGA